GUCUCUGUGGCGCAAUAGGUUAGCGCGUUCGGCUGUUAAGUGAAAGGUUGGUGGUUCAAGCCCACCUAGGGACG
rfam:Danio rerio chromosome 4, GRCz11 reference primary assembly.